rnacentral:rRNA from 1 species
AUACGGAGGGUCCAAGCGUUAUCCGGAUUCAUUGGGUUUAAAGGGUCCGCAGGCGGGAAAAUAAGUCAGUGGUGAAAGCCUACAGCUCAACUGUAGAACUGCCAUUGAAACUGUUUUUCUUGAGUAUAGAUGAAGUGGGCGGAAUAUAUCAUGUAGCGGUGAAAUGCAUAGAUAUGAUAUAGAACACCGAUUGCGAAGGCAGCUCACUAAACUAUUACUGACGCUCAGGGACGAAAGCGUGGGUAGCAAACAGGAUUAGAAACCCCAGUAGUCC